UACGUAGGGUGCAAGCGUUAAUCGGAAUUACUGGGCGUAAAGCGUGCGCAGGCGGUUAUGUAAGACAGUUGUGAGAUCCCCGGGCUCAACCUGGGAACUGCAUCUGUGACUGCAUAGCUAGAGUACGGUAGAGGGGGAUGGAAUUCCGCGUGUAGCAGUGAAAUGCGUAGAUAUGCGGAGGAACACCGAUGGCGAAGGCAAUCCCCUGGACCUGUACUGACGCUCAUGCACGAAAGCGUGGGGAGCAAACAGG
rnacentral:rRNA from 1 species